CAAAACAAAACAAGACCCUUAUUUUUUCUCUCUCCUCGCACUCUUAUCAGCCAAAACAAAAUGAGACCUUCGCUCGAUUCACUCUCGUCAAUUUUUUUCGGCCAUCUCAUCGAUUUCGUCCGGCUCACCAAACCUCGUACAGUGCAGAUCUCCUUAAUUCGACCCUUAUCUCUUCUUUCGUUCGCUCGAUUCACUGUACGGCUCACCAAACCUCGUCCGGCUCACCAAACUUCGUUUGACCAUCUCUUUGUUUCCAAUUCGGUCAGAACAACAAACCUCGUCUUAUUUAACCGUCAGAGUUCAAGGUAUUAAUUGUUGAUUGUUGAUGUGGAUUGUAGUUUGAUGGGUAUUGCAUAAAGUUGGGAUUUUUUUUGCGGGAAGGCUGUUUGUAUUUCCCUUUUGGGCUUAUAAAGGAUAAUUUGGGUGUCUUACGGUUCUUUUAAUAUAUACGCUUAAUAAUGGUGUAUGGUCAUUUUGAUGCUUGAAUUGUCUACUGUUAAGAAAAUUUGAAGUGGG
rnacentral:lncRNA from 1 species